CCUCACUGCUAUCGGGAUGGGACUAAGACAUGCUAGUCGAGCGCCUUGAGCUAUGGCAAGGCGCGGCGCACAGCUCAGUAGCACGUGGCUAACCUGCCCUUGGGACAGGGACAACCCCGGGAAACUGGGGCUAAUCCCUGAUGGGUGAGAACUCCUGGAAUGGAUUUUCAUCGAAAAGGUGUUGAAGCAUGCUUUCAACGGCGUCCGAGGAUGGGGCCGCGGCCGAUCAGGUUGUUGGUGAGGCAACGGCUCACCAAGCCUUUAACCGGUACGGGCCGUGGGAGCGGGAGCCCGGAGAUGGGUACUGAGACAAGGACCCAGGCCCUACGGGGCGCAGCAGUCGCGAAAACUCCGCAAUACGCGAAAGCGUGACGGGGCUAUCCCGAGUGCCGUCCGCUGAGGAUGGCUUUUCCCCAGUGUAAUGAGCUGGAGGCAAUAAAAGGAGGGCAAGGAUGGUGUCAGCCGCCGCGGUAAAACCAACUCCUUGAGUGGUGAGGAUUAUUAUUGGGCUUAAAGCGUUCGUAGCUGGCCUGACUAGUCCCGCGUUAAAUCCAACGACCUAAUCGUUGGGCUGCGGGGGACACGGUCAGGCUUGGGGGCGGGAGAGGUUAGCGGUAUUCCCGGGGUAGGGGUGAAAUCUUAUAAUCCCGGGAGGACCAGCAGUGGCGAAGGCAGCUAACCAGAACGCGCCCGACGGUGAGGGACGAAAGCUGGGGGAGCGAACCGGAUUAGAUACCCGGGUAGUCCCAGCCGUAAACGAUGCAGGCUAGGUGUUGGCGCGGCUACGUGCCGCUCCAGUGCCGCAAGGAAGCCGUUAAGCCUGCCGCCUGGGAAGUAAGAUCGCAAGAUUGAAACUUAAAGGAAUUGGCGGGGGAGCACCACAAGGGGUGAAGCUUGCGGUU
rnacentral:rRNA from 1 species